GGGCACACCUGUCUCCCUAGGCUCCUUGUGGUCAGUAACAUAAGCUCCCUUGACCCCUUCAGGCCAGGUUUCCUCAGCCCUGGACAGAUCCCAGGGGCUCAAGGCUUAGCUGGCCAGCCACAGGGACACCCAGGACACCCUGCUGCCUAUAAUUCCUGGAUCAGGACUAAGCUCAGGAGUGGUGAUGGAGCCACCCAACACUCCCGCCUUGGCAUCCCCGCGGCAGCAACAAAGCACCAGAGAACCCUAGACAACAGGUGGCUGACCCCCACCCCUGAGUCCUUGGGGCCUUGCUGGAGGGAGAGCAGUGGCCCCUGUGCAUGGUUACAAAUGAAGACACCAAAGCGCAG
rnacentral:lncRNA from 1 species